AUAUACACCAUGGAAUACUAUGCAGCCAUAAAAAAUGAUGAGUUCAUGUCCUUUGUAGGGACAUGGAUGAAACUGGAAAUCAUCAUUCUCAGUAAACUAUCGCAAGAACAAAAAACCAAACACCGCAUAUUCUCACUCAUAGGUGGGAAUUGAACAAUGAGAUCACAUGGACACAGGAAGGGGAACAUCACACUCUGGGGACUGUUGUGGGGUGGGGGGAGGGGGGAGGGAUAGCAUUGGGAGAUAUACCUAAUGCUAGAUGACGAGUUAGUGGGUGCAGCACACCAGCAUGGCACAUGUAUACGUAUGUAACUAACCUGCACAAUGUGCACAUGUACCCUAAAACUUAAAGUAUAAUAAAGUAAAAAAUAAAAAAAUAAAAAAAAAUUUAAAAAAAGUAAAUAAAGGGUGAGGAUUUUAGACUUCCAUGAUGUUGUACACUCAUCAUACACUGCUUCACACAGGGAAAAGGACGUUGUGUUUUCUUUGAUAAAUAGCAGCUUAAUCCACUGUUAAUUGUUUUAAAGAAUCACUUUUCAUUUUUAUUUUCUUAUUGUAUUAUAUGCAUCUUAUGUUAUAUAUUGCCUUAAUUUUUAAGAUGACAGAAUAAAUGGAUGAAUAAAUGAAUAUCAAAAAAGGCAGUUUAAAGCAAUGAAAUGGAAUCUAUUUAAUUGGUCUGGGUAUAAGAACAAAUGAGAAAUAUUUGGUCCAUAUCCAAUGGUUUAAUCUCCUUAAUUUUUAUCCAGAACUAACCCCGUAUCUUUGGCAUUUUGCAGAAAUAAGGAUUCACUUUAAUAUCACUAUGCAAUAUUUCUGGAUCAUAAUCCACCUCAGGGAAGGACAGAUUUGGUUAUGGAGACCUCGGAAGUCCAAGUCUCUAUGCUAAAUAGACAGCAGAAGAACCAAUUUAACAGCUUUCAAUAUUUCUGUCUGACUCCCUGUUGGAAUUGCAGUUUUGAUGUGUGUUACCGGACGAGGGUGUCCAGGUUCCUGGCGUUUUGAACAAAGAAUUGGACAAAACACAGAAACAAAGCAAUGAAGCAAUGAAGCCACAAAAGCAGAGAUGUAUUGAAAACGAAAAGUACACUCCACAGGGUGGGAGCAGACCCGAGCAGCCACUGAAGGGCCCAGUUACAGAAUCUUCGCGGGUCCAAGUACCCCCUAGAGGUUUUCCAUUGGCCACUUGGUGUUCACCUUAUGUAAAUGAAGUGGUGGCUUGCAAUCAGUCUGAUUGCAGAGAGCAACCAGUCAGAGGCUGAGUGAAGUUACAAAGUUACACUCCCAUGCAAACGUCUGAUUGGUUGCAAAAAGCAACCAAUCAGAGAUACUUUUAAUUUCCCAUCUGCCAAUGCAGAAAAAUGGGGGUUUGCAAAGGGAGUAGCCACUUGUCCUUUUGUCCUUUUGUUACUUAGGCAUGGAAAGUUAGGGUUUUCCUUUCAAUUUCGUUUUAGGAAGUCAGCGUGAAAUGGCCUUGGGUUCCCUGCCUCCAGACCUUAUUAUUCUGCCUCAGUUGCACUCAGGGUCCCUGUCCCAUAGUUCUGUGCUGAUAUCUGAGAUAUCAAGUGUGAUAUUGACUGAGGCAAACGACAAAUUACCAAUUCCAAAACGAAUACUAAUUGCAUAAUAACAGUUUCCAAGCUGUUAGUCUGCUUUCCUAAAAAAGCUAAUUUAACACAAGCACAGAACUGGCUCUUGCCCAUGGGUUAUAUUUUCGGUUGGCAGAUUUUGCUUUGCAAAAAGAUUGGGGGAAAUGAGGACUGUUGUAGAAGAAGCAUACUUGGCCUUUUGUGAAGAGGGUACAAAUUGCAUCAACCUCUCAAGGCCUGAAAGUGUGAACACAAGGACACUUAAUACCUUCAAGAGAGGUCGAUUACCUUUCCCAGAGGUAAAAUGACCUAGUGCUUUGGCUUGAGUGGGAUCCUUGAAUUUUCAGCCCUUCGAAGGAGAGUUUUGUGCAGGAUGGAGGUGCUUGAGUGCUGAGGAACUGAACCUGGGUUGGUACGCAUUGUCCAUAGGAUUCAGGGCCCAGGGGAGGGCAUGGUCACUAAAUGGCUGAUCCUCUCUGGAAUGAAACUUUAGAAAGCAAAACGCAAAAUUUUUUGAUUACUAUAGAAUGCUGAAGUUACUGGACUCCUCCUGAGAUUAUGUUCAUAACUUUUUAGCUGAAACUAACAUCUACAAAGACCAUCUAUCUUGGAUGAACCUAUUUUCUGGUAACCAGUGUUAAAUAUUUUUUAAUCAAAAAUUUAAAACUUGCAUUAGAAUAAUUUCUGAUUUUCACCUUUUUAAAUAGAAUUUUUUAAAAUAUAUUUUUUAAAGAUGAGGUCUCACUACAUUGCCCUGGCUGGUCUGGAACUUGUGCACUCAAGCAGUCCUCCCACCUCAGCCUCCCAAAGUGCUGGGAUUACAUGUGUGAGCCACAGUGCCCAGUUUGAUUUUUGCCUCUGAAAUAUUUGAAGUAUAUUUUAAAAUACAUGCUUUUUGUGGGAUUACAUUUAGAAGACUUCUCUUUUUUGAAACUUAGAAAGAGUGGAAAUUAUUAUCCGCAGCAGUGUUUUUGAAUAUUACCUUUGCCUCAUGCCUUAAUUCUUGUGGAACCUGGAAGAAGUAGAGAUGCAUUAAAAAUAGUAUAUGUAUCAA